GAGAAGCUUGCUUCCUCUUGAGAGCGGCGGACGGGUGAGUAAUGCCUAGGAAUCUGCCUGGUAGUGGGGGAUAACGUUCGGAAACGGACGCUAAUACCGCAUACGUCCUACGGGAGAAAGCAGGGGACCUUCGGGCCUUGCGCUAUCAGAUGAGCCUAGGUCGGAUUAGCUAGUUGGUGGGGUAAUGGCUCACCAAGGCGACGAUCCGUAACUGGUCUGAGAGGAUGAUCAGUCACACUGGAACUGAGACACGGUCCAGACUCCUACGGGAGGCAGCAGUGGGGAAUAUUGGACAAUGGGCGAAAGCCUGAUCCAGCCAUGCCGCGUGUGUGAAGAAGGUCUUCGGAUUGUAAAGCACUUUAAGUUGGGAGGAAGGGCCAUUACCUAAUACGUGAUGGUUUUGACGUUACCGACAGAAUAAGCACCGGCUAACUCUGUGCCAGCAGCCGCGGUAAUACAGAGGGUGCAAGCGUUAAUCGGAAUUACUGGGCGUAAAGCGCGCGUAGGUGGUUUGUUAAGUUGGAUGUGAAAUCCCCGGGCUCAACCUGGGAACUGCAUUCAGAACUGACUGACUAGAGUAUGGUAGAGGGUGGGUGGAAUUUCCUGUGUAGCGGUGAAAUGCGUAGAUAUAGGAAGGAACACCAGUGGCGAAGGCGACCACCUGGACUGAUACUGACACUGAGGUGCGAAAGCGUGGGGAGCAAACAGGAUUAGAUACCCCGGCUAGUCCACCCCCGUAAACCAAUGUCAACUAGCCUUUGGGAACCCUUGACCUCUUAAUUGCCCCACCUUCCGCAUUAAAUUUGACCGCCUGGGGGAGUACGGCCCCCACGCUUAGAACUCAACUGAAUUGACUGGGGCCCCGCUCAAGCAAUGGAGCAUGGGGGUUUAUUCCA
rnacentral:rRNA from 1 species